GGACUCUUCCCCUCGGGCUGCUGGGGAUCCCACUGCACCUCAGCCAGGGCUGGAGGCCGACAUGGGCCCUAGAGGAGCCUGGUCAGCUCUGCCACGAGUGGGCAGCCGUGUUUUUCUGCCUCUGCCUCGC
ensembl:scaRNA